GACAGAGGGUGCAAACGUUGUUCGGAAUUACUGGGCGUAAAGCGCGUGUAGGCUGCUUCGCAAGUCGGAUGUGAAAGCCCUGGGCUCAACCCAGGAAGUGCAUUCGAAACUGCAGAGCUGGAGUCCUGGAGAGGAAGGCGGAAUUCUCGGUGUAGAGGUGAAAUUCGUAGAUAUCGAGAGGAACACCGGUGGCGAAGGCGGCCUUCUGGACAGUGACUGACGCUGAGACGCGAAAGCGUGGGGAGCAAACCGG
rnacentral:rRNA from 1 species